GGCCUCUGUAAACUACUUUGCCUGCAGCUACAGGGUUUAGUUCCCAUUGAAAUGGCAUAUUUAGCAUUUUCCAGCUGAAGCACCGGAUCCAGCACAGCUCUCCAGUGAUCUGUCCAGGGAGCUGCCCUAUCCAAUGGACAAACCAGCUGAGACUCUCCAUCAUGAAGCAGAUCCAGCAAUGCCAGUGUCAUGAUUUAUGUGGAAAAAGCAAGUAAGUCUCUCUGCUGCUCCUGGCAGCCAAAGUACUUCCAGUUUGGAGACCAAGAGCUAGAGAAACCAAAGGAAAAGCAACCAGCCCUUCUCCCAGUGCAAGCUGCUGCCGGGCAGCAUGGGGAAAUCCUGCAGGGUGGCUGGUCUCCUUUGGAAGUCAUUCCCACUGCCCCUGCCAAAGCCACAUUCCUGUGCCCAGAGGGAUGGCGGUACAGCCAGCCAGCAACAUCUUGUACGUAGGGCGAUGGAAAAAUGGGCAGGGCCAUGCCAGUCCAUCUUUUCAUCCUGAAUAUGAGCAAAAAAAUAAAAGCCUUUUCUGACAGAAAACUCCACAAAAUGCUGAUCCUGAAACUUACUUCCACGUCAGUGAGGGAUAAAGUAUUAAAAUAUACCUGACACUGUUACCAUCUUCUCUGCUUUUCAGACAGCCUAAAAUUUCUAUUCAGAAGACAGCUGUCAGCUAUUUAAGCAGCUUUACCCAUUUUUCCUUGAUGCUUGGCUGUAUCCUCCCUCUAAUCUCGCUCCUGAACCCAUCUCAUUUGACCAAAAUUUCCCAGAAAAAUCCGUGUUGUGAGAGGCUCAGAGCGUACUCAGUGAAUGCAGAUUCUUCAGAGAUUCUUAACUAUUAGAAACCUUGCAAAACCCACUGAACAUCCUAUAAUGUGUUUACAACUCUUGACUUUUCAAAGGUUAAUAUGCAGGCCCAACACAGGCAGAUGUUCAAGGUAGCUCUGGACCAAAGGGCACACACUGCCCGGUGUCAGGUUCUCGUCUCCAAAUAGAAGUGUUCUAUUUUGGUGUUCAUGGACUGACCUUUUUUAAUAGGGGAGAACAACCUUGGUCUCAAGGAACUGCAGACAGGCUGACAUUAAGAUCUGAGAAAGAGGACCAGACUUACAAGAGAAGUUACCUGGCAUCCCUGAGCCAGUCUACAAAUUUGCAGCAGCUGAAGGGCUGGCAGGGAAGUUGCCUCCGUCGUCCAUUCCCUGUGCUGACCCUGGUGUGCUUUGUUGAGCAGUUCGAUCCAACUCGACAUGAAAGAUGGGGUUUGCCCUGUUAAUAUUCUGCCAGAAUAGUUGAAUUUAUGAAGCACGGGAUCCACAGGUCACAGGACAGGUGUGAGGAAGAGGGAAAGGGGAAUAUAAGGUGCCCUAAUGGCUCUUCAAACAGCUUGAGCUGCUGUUGAUUUGUAACCUCACUUGAUCAUGAGCAAUGCACUGAGAUACCAGAUCAGAAAAGGUCCAUGAGCAGGCUCACCCCACCACCCGUACACUUAUUGACAAAGUACUAAGCAGACCCUGGUGCCCUAGUGCUGCUCUGUCAGCGUCACCCUACAGUGGCAUAAAGCGUUCAGAGGGUGAUGUCUGAGGCCACCUCAGGAAAGCUGUAAACCAAAGUGAGCCAGAUUGCAGGAUGUUCAUCAUACUGCUUUGGCUUAUAUGAGCUUAGUCAUGAAUUGUUUGUAAUGAGAAGGUGGCAAUAUAGAAAUAAAUGUUUACAGAUAAAGUAGACCUCCCCCAGUAAUAAACUAUUUUGAUCUAUCAUUGAAGCAAGAGGAAGAAGUGUGCCAGAUCGCUCUGUGAGGGUGUGGUACAUGUUCCUGCAGGGACAGGACUGGGUGCUUUGUACAGGGUAAGCUGUAUCGAUCCUUUGAACAAGGCAGCACCUCCCGCGGGUGCCCCAGCCACCUGCCGUGCUGUAGGUGCCAGCUGCCACCAAGCAGGAAGCAGCUGCGUGACUUUGCACAGUGCUGCACCCCGUCCUGUCCUUUCCUUGGAUCCACGUAGCCAAAGGGACAGAAGGACAUUCACCAUUUUGUUUGGACAACACAGUGAGGGGCAUCUCAGGGAUCACGGGCAUAGCGGGGAGAGGUGAUCUGAUUUUCAGACUCGUUAUCUCUCCUUACAGCCUUGGGCAUACAACCUGGACCAAAACCAUCUCAUCAGACAACAUGUUUUUUCACAAGAGCUGCGCACACGUAAGCUCCAAUGGUUCUCCUGCAGCAGUUGCUGGUGAUCACAUCCUCUGCAAAUCUGCUUAUCAUUUAUGUAGGGAAUAAAGGGGGGUUAAAUGUGGCCAACACAUUUGAGCAUUACACUAGAA